ensembl:lncRNA
GGAGCGGCCCAAGAAAUAGCAAAAAAGACCAAAAAAAAAAAAAAAAAAGUCAGUGUUUUCUACUUUGGGUGCCCUUGAGUAUCUGGUGGGGCUGCACUGGGGUAGCCUCCCCCACAUCCGAGCUCAUCACCAGCUACACCAUUUGCCUUUAAGAUGCUUCUGUCUUUUACCACCAUCAGGCCCUCCCGGCAGCUCUGAUGUUUUAACAUAUUAUGCAGAAGUUACUUUUGACUCUGAUCCUUACUCUGAACAGAAAUAAUUUUAGCCCUAAAUUGGAAUAGCAAGGAGUAAGGCUAGUUAAUUUGUAGGUGCUUUGAGUAAAAUAAUCUAAUCCACCUAUAAACUAUAAAUGACAGUAACAUAAUAAGCUUUGUAGAAAUAACAAAACUUUAAAAAAUGCAUUUCUGUUUAAAAAAAUUAAAUGUUAUAGUGUAAGAAGGAUCCUUAUAUUGGUGCAUUUUUGGAUAAUUGUCUAGAAUUUGGAUAAUUUUAAAAAUGAAAUAGAGCUUUUGUAUAAAAUCAUGUGACAUAAAAAUCACAGGGUAGAUAGACUUUUUUUCCUAUUUUUGGUAAUUGCAAGCCACAGCAACACGGGACCUGAGCCGAGUCUGCAGCCUACACCACAGCUCACAGCAACGCCCCAUCCUCAACCCACUGAGCGAGGCCAGGGAUCGAACCUAUAUCCUCAUGGUUGCUAGUCAGAUUUGUUACCUCUGAGCCACAACAGGAACUCCCAUGACAAAUUUUUUUUUCUUUCCUAAAAUACUCACUUUGUCUUUUGGACAGAAUGUGUUAAGUAUUCUUACAUAUUCCAGAUUUUUGUUAUUCAUGUUCGAGAUGGUCAUAUUUGUUUUGUUUUUUUUUUUUUCUUUCACAUUCACAUACACACCAAAGAGGCAAGAGAAAGGCCAGUAGCUCUUGCAGAGCUGUGUGUGGGCUGGGAAGGAAGCAGGACCAGGCGAGGCGCAGCAGCUGUUCCGCCCUCAUCCGGCUUCUCUUUCUUACUGUUCCGUGUCUCCAUCUCACACUGACCCCUGUGGGACCCACCUGAGGAGCUACCGCUGGAGCAGGCAAUCUAUGCAUUUUUCAUACUGGGUUUCCAAGAUUAGGUUUUGUUUGAAGAGAGCAUUCUGUUGCUUCUUAAACAAAAGCAAAACAAAACUCGAAAGCUGAUGGUUUAUUCCUGUGCUCCUCCCUGUGGAAUUCUGCCUGAUGGGAUACCCGGCCUGCCUCGCUGUCACCGUCCCGGGCUGCCUCUCUGUAGUCCUUGUCCCCACAUCCAUAUCUGCAGUAUUUCUCUCCCAACUCACAGUCCCUAAACCUCUGUGCAAGGGCUUCCUCAGAUUUCCUCAAAACCCUCAUGGAGCCUUUGGAGCUUGAUUUUUGGCAUGUGUUAUUAUGAAAACCUGCUUAUCAGUCUGCUUGUAAGUAUCUGUUUAUCAGAAGGAUUUGUGCUGGGCAAGAUUGUCCUCUUGUAUGUAUGUAGGGCUUUCCCAUCUCGAGAUGGCCAGCACUGAGAAUGGAGGUGGUUUUUUUUUUUUUUUCCCUUCCCCCCUGCUUAUCUUUACACAAUGAAUUUUGCAUUUUUUAAGUACCGUAUUUCUUUUCCUUGAGUCUCUCCCAAACCAAAUAUUUAUGGAUGAUUUCAGCCCAGGCGCAACCCAGCUGUCGACAUUUAAAGCAGGUCUCUCUAAACAUUAAAAUGAAACCCAAAGUAUCACUGAAAACAACUACUUCUGGUAGACAAACAGCUUAUUUCUUCCUAAUGUUUCCUUUUCCUUUCUUUCAUCAAAGACCAUUUAUGAAGUUCUCGCAGAAAGUAAAAUAAGCAGGUUGUCCCUGAACACCACGAGUUUGUCUUGCUGUGACCAAGCUAGCUUAAUUUCUUUAACAAGUUAAUGUCACAGCUGUUGACAUCAUACGACCCAAGUAACUUUUACCUACACGCCAUCACUUCUCAUUUAUCCUUGGUGAUAAUGUAGGAGUGGGAUGAUGUGAGUAGGUUAGAUUUACAGAUAACCCAGGUGCCCUACUUUUAUCAAUACAGUUGUCCCUUGAAGCCCUUAAACCUUUUACAGAGCUACUAAUGCAGAGCACAAUGAACGAACACACCUGAAGCUGUUUAGCCUCUGUCAGUGAGCCUGGAAAAGAACAAAAGGCUGUGAGUUCCCUUGUGGCUCAACAGGUAAAGGACCUGGCGUUGUCACUGCUGUGGCUCAGGUUCAGUCCUUGGCCUGGGAACUUCUGCAUGCCCUGGGUAUGGCCAAAAAGAAAAUAACAACAACAACAAAAGACCAAAAGAAAUUAGUUCAAAACAAAUGGGGAGUGGUAUUUCUUUUUUACUCUCAAAAUAACAUAUGUGUUUUUACUGCUUUCUUCACUUGAAAAAUCUUUGCUGUCAAGGGAACAUAGUAUCGAACAAUGAAUCAUAAAUACAUAAGAACUGUUACUUAUCCCUGUUUAUAUCCCCCCCCAUGCCAACCCCCUCCCAAUGGCACUAGGACCACAAAGCUAGGCAAAAUAUAGGGGCGUCUCUGAGAUGCUUUUUCUAGAAGAGAGCAGAAGUAUUCAAACAUACAAUUCAUUUCCCCAGUUUUACAGGUUCAGCAUAUUUUUUCUCCAUAUUAAGUGAAGGAAGUAUUGAAUAUGAAAUAGUCUUAGUUCAUUAGCAGCAGAAAAUAACACAUAGGACCCAAGUAAUGUUUGGUAAUGAAUGGUAUCGACAGUGAUGGUUUUGGGUAGUGACUUUUGGACACACUUUUAGGCCUAGAAUAUACUGGUGUCCCUUCUGUUUCGUGCAUUUUCAAAAAGUAAAUGUUUACUUUCCAGGGAGAUAGCACCCAGCCAUUUAAAAAUAAUAAUUGUAACCAAACUUCAGUAAGGCCCAGAACCUAAAAUAAACCACCUUAGAAUAAGGCUAUUGAAAUGUAGAAAAUAAACUCAUCACUGCUGGGGGAGAAGAUGGAGCAAGCCGAAGAAAGAUUCCAACUUUAGUUUUUAAAACUAGUAUCCGUUCUAUGAGCAGAUCAAAGACUUCACUUGCCUAAGGUUUUUGUAACUGUGGGUUCUGCCUUAUUUAAAAAGCGGUAGUAGGGACCAGGUCAUGGAGAUGUAGUUCCCUCGUCCCCUGAGACCUCGCCCUGGAAAUGACCUUGCAUCUUCUUUUGGUCUGACAGUGGGCCCCAGGGACUGGGGGCUCGCACCCUGCAGGCUGGCCCUACAUCUGCCCUCUGCAGAGGGUCCAGGGGGAAUUCACUGCCUACCCUUCCUGCCUUGUGGACAGUAGCUCCUCUUAAGCUAACUGGGCCAUAGUUUCAUGUUGAUGGCAGAGCCAUAGAGAGAAAGAAAUUUCUGUGUGCAAGUCCAUUUUCAAGCCUGUGCAUUAUUUUCUGCCAACAUCCCAUUGGCCAAAGCAAAUUACAAAUCAAAUGGUAGGGAUGUAGGAGCAAAGAGAGAACUGUGACUUUUUUUGCCAUCUAUUACAAUGAUUACAUUGAAAUGUCGUUUUGUGCCAGAGGAAGCUAUGGCCUCAAAAUCCUGACAAUGGUCUUGUAGGUAGACGGUGAACUGCCCCAGACAAGCAUUCCACACAGUUGCUUGGGGGAGCAGUUCCAAAUGAUCUGCGACUACAGUGGCAUCGUUAGAAGGAAGGGUCUGGCCUCUGAGGUGACUUUUGGGGCGGACAGUGCCCUCUUGGAUGAAGGUUUUAGAUGAGGGUUUCAUCAUGUGCUGGUUGGGUGGAACCAAGUCUGCCUUGAAAGUUUUACCUUGUGGUCCCCAAAUGGAAAACAGUGGGGGGGCUGUGGUAGGAAUUCCUUUUGUGGCUCAGGGGGUUAAGAACCUGACUAGUACCCAUGAGGGUGCAGGUUCACUUCUUGGCCCUACUUAGUGGAUUAAGGAUCCUGCAUUGCCACAACUUGCAUGUAAGUCGAAGAUGCAGCUCAGGUUUGAUGUGGCUGGGGCAUACGCUGGCAGCUGCAGCUCUGAUUCGACCCCUAGCCUGGGAACUUCCAUAUGCUGCGGGUGCAGCCCUAGUAAGAAAAAGGGGAGGCGGGGGUCACUUUCUAUGCCUUAUGAGUAAUGGUUAUAACUAAAAGUAGCGAGAUUCAGUGUAAAGAUUCAGGCCUUGGUAUAUCUUAGAAUCAGUUUCCUUAUCUGGAAGAUGUCAGGUGGGCAGAGGUUGGGCCAGGUUCCAGACUCUGCCCUCAGGAUGCUUAGAAGUUCUGUGAAGGAUCUCGGGUGAGGGCAGACCUGUUGGGGCUCAGGGCUCAGGACUCAGUCCCAUGCAUCCAGCCAGAGCAAUGCUGCUUUCAUCUGUUAUAUAAAUAGUGGCUGUCCCAGAAGAUGUCAUUUGAAGAAAGGGUUCUGUGGCUUUAUAAAAUUUGCAUAUUUCUGGGCUAGACAAUCUAAGAAGUGUAUUUCAUGCUAAGCUCUCAGGAGUCUGUGUUAGAUAAAUGAAAACAAGUCCACUUGGUGUCACUUUCUCUGUAUUACUCACUCUAUGAGUUGUGGGUGCACUGGCUUCUCCCAGAUCUGUAAGAUCCUGCUUUAGUGGGUGGUGGAAGCCAUGGGCCCUAUUAUUUACAUUAGGAUACGUUAGACACCAUUUAAGAGUAUAUUUUUCCCUUGAAAUUUAUUGAGUUGGAUCGUUCUAAUCUUUCUUCUUAAAUAUUUAAUUUUAAUUAACCCAGAGGUGAAAGGCCUCUUUAAAUGCUCUCAUUUUAAACUAUAUUUUAAGCGUAUUCAUCAUAAUCCAUUUAGUUCCACCUCCUUUAUCCACAUGAAAUGACUAAAUGUAUGUUUUUAUUGAUCAUCACAGCAAAUUGCUUUCAAAAACCUGGUACAGAGAAAUCGGCAAAAUGAACAGCAGAACCAGGGCCCUCCAGCUCUGAACUCCACCAUCCAGCUGCCGUUUAUAAUCAUCAACACAAGCAGAAAAACAGUCAUAGAUUGCAGCAUCUCCAGUGACAAGUAAGUGGGGAACGAGCAGCAGAGUGCAGGGCUCACCUUCUAACGUUAUGCCGAACAAUUGCAAAAUUAAGAGGGUUGUGCUCCAAGGCUGACUUCCUCAAGGCAUAUGAAACGGCUUUGCAGACAUGGGGUGCCGUCACCUGCUAGUGCUUGCUCUGUCAUUCACCCUCCGCAACCCCCUCUCUUGGGCCUGGCCCUGUGCUGCCUUUGUCAUAUGCAUGGUGGUGCCCAUGUAUGUACAUGUAGGUGGUGUAACUCUGGGCAGGUAAAGUAGAGCAUCACUCAGGUAGGUUCGCUGGUGAUUCACUGUCGUAGUUGAUGCUGAGAAUGGUUUAGAUCAAUGCUGCACUAAAGCAGUUGUUUUCCUUUGCUGUGUCAGAGUUGAGUGUGCUUCUCUUUAUGAUGAACGAACAGAUGUGAAAAUGCUAGAUGUGUUCUCUGCUUUCUUUCUUAUUUAUCUCAUCCUGUGAAGUCUGUACCUUUUGACCAUCUUCAUUCAUUUCACUCACCCCCCAUGUCUGGCAGGUUACCAGUCUGUUCUCUGCAUCUGUGAGUUUGGUUUUGUUUUUUUGUUUGUUUGUUUGUUUGUUUUGGUCUUUUCUAGGGCCACUCCCGUGGCACAUGGAGGUUCCCAGGCUAGGGGUCUAAUCGGAGCUGUAGCUGCCAGCCUAUGCCAGAGCCACAGCAACGCGGGAUCCGAGCCACGUCUGCAUCCUACACCACAGCUCACAGCAACGCUGGAUCUUUUAACCCACUGAGCAAAGGCAGGGAUCGAACCCACAACCUCAUGGUUCCUAGUCGGAUUCGUUAACCACUGUGCCACGAUGGGAACUCCUGAGUUUGGUUUUGGUUUUAGUUUUUGUUUUUUUAAGAUUCCACUUAUGAGAUCGUACACUAUUUGUUUUUCUCUUUUUGUCUCACUUAGCGUAAUACUCUCAAGGGGCAUCCAUGUUGUUGCAAAUGGCAGGAUUUCCUUCUUUUUUUAUGGCUGAAUGACCCAUUGUGUGUAUACCCCACAUUUUCUUUAUCCAUUCAUCUGAUGGUGGACACAGAUUGUUUCCAUGCCUCGGCUGUUGGAAAUGAUGCUGUAGGCAGUAAACAUGGGAAUGCAGGUUAUCUGCUCAGGAUUGUGAUUUCCUUCAGAUACAUACCCACAGGUGGGAUUGCUGGGUCAUUUUAAUUUUUUGAGGAACCUCCAUACUGUUUUCCCGAGCAGUUGGACCAGUUUACAUUCCCACCAGUAUGAUUUUCAUUUUAACUAAGAUUGCUGCUACUGUUUAUCAUACUAGGUAAGCAGUAGCAGUUUUCAAAUUACAGAAUUUGUAAUUUAUUUUACUCUUCGUGAAGACAGUAGUGGUCUUCAGGCUGUGACCAUUAUCGAGUUAGUUCAGGGCAUAGGGUGCGGAGUGAGACAGAUCCAAGUAUGGAUUGUGGCUCCCCCAUUUAACUGCUCCAAGCUGUUUUCCUAAGAACUAAUGGGGACCGUCCAAGGGUGUCUCAUCACUUCGGUGGCUGCCAUGAUGCUUAAAUAAGAUGAUGCCUCUAAGAGGUCUGACUCAAGGCAAGUGCUGCUGUCCCAAGGAGUCAGCAUAUAAUUUGAGAGCAAAAGAAGGCUCAGUGAUCACAGAGGCACAGCCCAGGACUGUUCCAGGGCUGGAACUGCUGGUUUCCUUAGAGCUAGGGUGUCACUAGGGGGCUAAAUUUACCGUCGCUGGCGUUUCCCACUCUUUUCUCUAGCAGUGUUGCUUUCCUGUCUGUCCUGAUUGCAUACAGAGAUUCUGGGUCACUUAAAUAAGAAGGCACU